UUGGAUCCAGACUUUGAUUAUGGCUCAGGAUGAACGCUAGCUACAGGCUUAACACAUGCAAGUCGAGGGGAAACGAUAUUGGAAGCUUGCUUCCGAUAGGCGUCGACCGGCGCACGGGUGAGUAACGCGUAUCCAACCUGCCCACCACUUGGGGAUAACCUUGCGAAAGUAAGACUAAUACCCAAUGAUAUCUCUAGAAGGCAUCUGAAAGAGAUUAAAGAUUUAUCGGUGAUGGAUGGGGAUGCGUCUGAUUAGCUUGUUGGCGGGGUAACGGCCCACCAAGGCAACGAUCAGUAGGGGUUCUGAGAGGAAGGUCCCCCACAUUGGAACUGAGACACGGUCCAAACUCCUACGGGAGGCAGCAGUGAGGAAUAUUGGUCAAUGGACGAGAGUCUGAACCAGCCAAGUAGCGUGCAGGAUGACGGCCCUAUGGGUUGUAAACUGCUUUUAUAAGGGAAUAAAGUGAGUCUCGUGAGACUUUUUGCAUGUACCUUAUGAAUAAGGACCGGCUAAUUCCGUGCCAGCAGCCGCGGUAAUACGGAAGGUCCGGGCGUUAUCCGGAUUUAUUGGGUUUAAAGGGAGCGUAGGCCGGAGAUUAAGCGUGUUGUGAAAUGUAGACGCUCAACGUCUGCACUGCAGCGCGAACUGGUUUCCUUGAGUACGCACAAAGUGGGCGGAAUUCGUGGUGUAGCGGUGAAAUGCUUAGAUAUCACGAAGAACUCCGAUUGCGAAGGCAGCUCACUGGAGCGCAACUGACGCUGAAGCUCGAAAGUGCGGGUAUCGAACAGGAUUAGAUACCCUGGUAGUCCGCACGGUAAACGAUGGAUGCCCGCUGUUGGUCUGAAUAGGUCAGCGGCCAAGCGAAAGCAUUAAGCAUCCCACCUGGGGAGUACGCCGGCAACGGUGCAACUCAAAUGAAUUGACGGA
rnacentral:rRNA from 1 species